rnacentral:lncRNA from 1 species
GGCCCUCCGGCUGAGCCCUGAUCUCUAUGGUUUCCGCGGCUCGCUAGAAGGAGUGUGGUCCACCGGAGGACUCCCUACAUUCUUCCUCCAUUACCUCACUGCCUCCGGUGGCUGCUGGGAUACCGGAGGACUCGGGUCCCGGCUCGACUCAGUCCUCCAGCCGCCCGGGGAAUACCUCUAGUUCUUCCCGGCCGCCGCCGCCGCCGCCGCCCCGCCGCUUCCUCCUCCGCCUGCCGGCCUCCUUCGCCCCGUCCCGUCCGCGCAGCGCGUCCGGCCCGCCCGCAGGCCAGCUUCUCUCGGGAGCCCCCACCCAGGCGCAUGGCUCCAUGAAGCAAGAGGAGGAGGCAGAGCGCGAGAGGUCCCGUCCGCCCCAGCCGCGUCUGGGCCAGGAUAAAAGCAAAACCAUAUUCCUGCUGCUGUCAGUUAUGAUGCACUGAGAAAACUUCAGAGACCUAAACUUUUUCCAGAGAAGAGAAGCUUUACUGGUGUUCCAGCCCUAAGAAACCUUUGUUCAAGAAAACGGCAGAUGCUCUGUUGAAUCCACUGGAGAUUGUUCUGAUACUAAGGACAAGUAUCAACCAUCUUUCCUGUGAAAAAUUCCCUCUCGUACUUUAGUUCUGUGGAUCCAAAAUUUAUAGCAUUCUUCUACCACCACAGGGGCUCAUAUGACAUUAACAGACAAGACACUUUUCAGAAAGACAGGUUGUUCUUUUGGGCCACAUCUAAGAAAUCUUUGUCUAGCCAAAAGCCACAAAUAAUUUCUCAUUUUUUGGCUUCUGGAAGAUGUACAGUUAAAUGUUAUAUUUGGGACUGUUAUCUAAUUUGAUUAAAUUGCACUCUACAAUAUGAUAUUUGAAUUGAUGAAAAAUUAGUAAAUGUUAAUAUUUUUUAAAGUA